rnacentral:lncRNA from 1 species
AUUCAAAGCUCGCGUCCCUUCAAGUUGAAUCUUCCGGCUUUGUGCGAUUUACCCUCUCAAACUUUCUAGUUUGCAAGUCAGAAUUACUUUGAACGUCCCCUCUUCUGGACUCCCCUCCCCAAAGGGACUGGCGGCAAAGGAGAAUAGAAUGCAGAUGGUUAAUAGUUCAAAUGAAAUUUAAAAACCUAUAAACCAAUAUUUUUUUAGAGGAGAAAAGCGUUCACCAAACCGCCACCCGGCAAGCGAGCAUCCGAUUUCCAUCCGGAGGAAAAAAUAUUUUAAAAACCAGACAUAAAAUUCCCUUUGCAAGAAAAGUGGCCUCUAAACUCCCUUGCCAAGGACACUGGGAGGAAGCAGAAAAGCAAAGACCAAGCUCGUACUUUUCAGUCCGCGGCUUGUGUGCCGCGAGGAGAGGCGCAAAGGGUGACACACCAGGAAAGCAGGUAGCAGGCAAGAGUGUGGUUAUCGUUGGACCAGGAUUCAGGAUCUGACUGAGUAGCUGACUCUUAAUCCAGUUUGUGUUGAUCACCAGGAGGAUCUGGACCUCAGUAUUACCACAUCUAGAGCUAUAAUCACAUCCCUGUUAAGCCUUCCUGAGAUCACACCAAAUGUCCUUGAUGGGAAUUGUAAACAACCCUUACUUCUGGUUUCUAAUGAUAUUCCAGGAAAGGAGCCUAACUAGAGUCAGUGAUAUGCCAACUCCACCUUUGCCUUCCACCAUGUUUGGAAGCUCCCUGAGGCCUCACCAGGAGCAGAUGCUCGUCCCAUGCUUCCUAUAAGCCUGCAGAACUGGAAAAGAAAGCUGGAUAAAGUAUUUAUAGAAGAUAGAGGACCUGUGGUGGCUCAUGCCUGUAAUCCAAGGUGGAAGGAUUGCUUGAGGCCAGAAGUUCAAGACCAGUCCAAGCAACAUAGCAAGGCCCCAUCUCUACAAAAAAUGAAAAUAAAAUUAGCCGAGCGUGAUGGCUCAUGCCUGUAGUUCUAGCUUCUAGAGAGGCUGAGGCAGGAGGAUUGCUUGAGUCCAGGAGUUCAAGAUUACAGUGAGCUAUGGUCACACCACUGCACUCCAGCCUGGGUGAUGGAGUGAGACUGUCUCAAUAAAAAGACAAAAAGGCUGGCCAGGGGCAGUGGUUCAUGCCUGUAAACCCAGCACUUUGGGAGGCAAAGGCAGGAGGAUUGCUUAAGCCCAGGAAUUUGAGAUCAGCCUGGACAACAUGGUCAAGGAAGCUUUUCCUGAUCCACUAACUAAGGACAAUCAAACCCUUCAUGAUCUAGAAUCUGGAGACUGUGUCUUCUGGGAAUAGUAUCAGAGAAAGACUGCCCUUACUGCCCACAUGUAGCAAAACUUUGAGACGUUGAAUUAUGGGUCCAUAAUCUCACAACUCAGAGGGGCACCUCUAGACUCUUGGAACUGUAUAUCUAUUGGAGACUUUAAGGUAAAGCUGAACAGAGAGACGUUUUUCUCCAGAAGCAGACAGCACCAUAGUCAUGGACAGCUUUCCCAAGAUCACAGAUCAAGACUUCUCUGCCGUCAUGAGACUCAUAACCUCUUAAUUUUUUCUUGCUUAUGCUUCUGUGAACAAUAGAAUUGGAAAAGGGGUGGUCCCGCGUGCACCCAUAGGGUAUACUUUUAUUUGUGGAGGAUUUUGCUGCCAACCUUAUACAUGGGCAAACUUAUGCCUUCAUGGAUGGAAGAUAAAGGGCUAAUAUGGGUUAGAAAUUUUAAUGGUACCUUUGUUUCUCCAUAAUCAUUCAGAAACAGAACACUGGUCCACUCUUGUUAACCUACAUCAUAGGUUGAAGAGAACAUUGCCAGGAGGCCUUCAUCCUUCCAGAUGGGCACCAUUUGUUGGGUCUUUUUCCGUGGUAUGAAGAAAAUGAAGCAAUGAUUAGAAAUUGGUCCCUCGGCCGGGCACAAUGGCUCAUGCCUGUAAUCCCAUCACUUUGGCAGGCCGAGGCGGGUGGAUCACCUGAGGUCAGGAGUUUGAGACCAGCCUGACCAAUGUGGUGAAACGCCAUCUCUACUAAAAAUACAAAAAUUAGCUGGGUGUGAUGGUGCACACCUGUAAUCCAGCUACUCGGGAGGCUGAGACAGGAGAAUUGCUUGAACCUGGGAGGCAGAGGUUGCAGUGAGCCAAGAUCACCCCACUGCAUUCCAGGUUGGGCAACAGAGCAAGACUCUGUCUCAAAAAAAAAAGAAGAAAGAAAGAAAUUGAUCCCUCAUAAUAGGCUGUAUAGCAGAUUCUACUGCAAAGGCUAUGGUUGCACAACAGACUUCUUUGAAUUUGCUUGCUAAACUUUUACUGGAUAAUACUGGGAUUACAGGUGUGAGCCACUGUGCCCAGCCUCUCCUGUUUAACUGUAUUCAUUCUAAUGUUUACUUACUUCUUUAAUUUGUAAAAUUGGGUCACUUAGAGUUUUUUUAGCCUAUCUUGCCAUUUAGCCACUGUUACUGAUAAUUUGGAUGGAAAAGAAAAAUAAAUUAUAUCACCUCUCAUCUUCAGUGUAUAUAUGUGUUAACUUAGUAAAUAUAGUAUUCUUUCUCGUUCCUAAUGAAAAUUUAGUUUACGUACUGAAACACUGCAAACUUUUAUAAAUAUUGUGAUGUAUUUGACCAAUACAAAGGAUCUUUUUAGAAACAGCAAACAGUUCUCAGAUUAUAGGAAUUACUCAUUUAAUGAUAGUUUCUUCUU